rnacentral:rRNA from 1 species
AGAGUUUGAUCCUGGCUCAGAACGAACGCUGGCGGCAGGCCUAACACAUGCAAGUCGAGCGCUGUAGCAAUACAGAGCGGCGCACGGGUGAGUAACACGUGGGAACGUGCCCUUUGGUUCGGAAUAACUCAGGGAAACUUGAGCUAAUACCGGAUGAGCCCUAACGGGGAAAGAUUUAUCGCCGAAGGAGCGGCCCGCGUUGGAUUAGCUAGUUGGUGGGGUAAAAGCCUACCAAGGCAACGAUCCAUAGCUGGUUUGAGAGAACGACCAGCCACACUGGGACUGAGACACGGCCCAGACUCCUACGGGAGGCAGCAGUGGGGAAUCUUGGACAAUGGGGGAAACCCUGAUCCAGCCAUGCCGCGUGAGUGAUGAAGGCCCUAGGGUUGUAAAACUCUUUCGGCGGGGACGAUAAUGACGGUACCCGCAGAAGAAGCUCCGGCUAACUUCGUGCCAGCAGCCGCGGUAAUACGAAGGGGGCUAGCGUUGUUCGGAAUUACUGGGCGUAAAGCGCGCGCAGGCGGUUCUUCAAGUCAGAGGUGAAAGCCCAGAGCUCAACUCUGGAAUGGCCUUUGAGACUAGAGAACUAGGGUACGGGAGAGGUGAGUGGAAUUCCGAGUGUAGAGGUGAAAUUCGUAGAUAUUCGGAAGAACACCAGUGGCGAAGGCGGCUCACUGGCCCGUUACCGACGCUCAGGCGCGACAGCGUGGGGAGCAAACAGGAUUAGAUACCCCAGUAGUCC